GGGAUUAGAUACCCCACUAUGCUUAGCCUUAAACCUAGAUGUCAAAUCUACAAAUAACAUCCGCCAGGGUACUACAAGCGCUAGCUUAAAACCCAAAGGACUUGACGGUGUCUCAGACCCACCUAGAGGAGCCUGUUCUAGAACCGAUAAUCCCCGUUAAACCUCACCACCCCUUGUUUCCUCCGCCUAUAUACCGCCGUCGCAAGCUUACCCUGUGAAGGUCUCAUAGUAAGCAAAAUGGGUAAAUCCCAAAACGUCAGGUCGAGGUGUAGCUCACGAGGUGGGAAGAAAUGGGCUACAUUUUCUAUAUUAGAAUAUAUACGAACAGCACUAUGAAACUAGUGCUCGAAGGUGGAUUUAGUAGUAAAAAACAAAUAGAGAGUCUUUUUGAACCAGGCUCUGAGACGCGCACACACCGCCC
rnacentral:rRNA from 6 species